rnacentral:rRNA from 1 species
GUGAAAAUGCGGGGCUCAACCCCGUAUGGCUCUGGAUACUGGAAGACUUGAGUGCAGGAGAGGAAAGGGGAAUUCCCACGUGUAGCGGUGAAAUGCGUAGAUAUUGGGAGGAACACCAGUGGCGAAGGCGCCUUUCUGGACUGUGUCUGACGCUGAGAUGCGAAAGCCAGGGUAGCGAACGGGAUUAGAUACCCCGGAUAGUCCUGGCCGUAAACGAUGGGUACUAGGUGUAGGAGGUAUCGACCCCUUCUGUGCCGGAGUUAACGCAAUAAGUACCCCGCCUGGGGAGUACGUCCGCAAGGAUGAAACUCAAAGGAAUUGACGGGGGCCCGCACAAGCGGUGGAGUAUGUGGUUUAAUUCGACGCAACGCGAAGAACCUUACCAAGGCUUGACAUUGAGUGACCGCUCUAGAGAUAGAGCUUCUUCUUCGGAAGCACGAAAACAGGUGGUGCAUGGCUGUCGUCAGCUCGUGUCGUGAGAUGUUGGGUUAAGUCCCGCAACGAGCGCAACCCCUAUCCUAUGUUACCAGCGGGUAAUGCCGGGGACUCAUAGGAGACUGCCAAGGACAACUUGGAGGAAGGCGGGGAUGACGUCAAGUCAUCAUGCCCCUUAUGUCUUGGGCUACACACGUACUACAAUGGUCGACAACAGAGGGAAGCGAAGCCGCGAGGCAGAGCAAACCCCAGAAACUCGAUCUCAGUUCGGAUCGCAGGCUGCAACCCGCCUGCGUGAAGUCGGAAUCGCUAGUAAU